CGCACCCCCCCCCCCCCCCCCCCCCCCGCUGCCCCUGCAAACUCGAGCAGCCCUGCCUCAGCUGCGCAGCAUCUGUGUUCAGGUUUCUUCUAAUCCAUAUGCCUGAGGCGAUGCGUGUCCUGAAGUCAGAGGCCCGGCUAUCCCGGUGCUUGUAAACUCGGUUGUUUUUUACACGUGUGACUUUGGCAAACCACUCAGUUCUCGUUACAGGCGAGUCUCAUGCCAAGGCUGACUUUCUGUUCCCAACUUCACCCCCCUGCGUGGAAUCCUGCGUUCCCCAUCCAGGCAGGAAGCCAGCACUGUGCCCUCACCGGCAUAAUUUGAGAGGCUGGCGUUAUCUCGGCUCUUCCAGAGUGGAGCCUAGGACACCGUCCGUCCAGAAAAUCAUCCGAGAGCACUGAAGGUGACGGAUAUCAACAGCAGAUCCCAGACUAUGGGAUCACUUCCUGGAAACGCAAAGAAACAACAUGGCAUCUGUUCAGAUGAAUAUUACUUUCUCAAAUUCUGUGUUGCCGUGGGCUUGCUCUGUGACGUAACUCUGCUCUGUGACAUAACUUUCUCCAUCUUUGCCCCCAAAACACCCAUGUCAUUGUGCCGAGGGCAAUGGAUAUACAAAUGAAGGUGACAUCUCUGGCAGCAAAUGAGCUUCCUCCAUCACAUCAGCUCCCACCAGGAAAUCCUGGGUUCCAGUUAGCCCACCUCCUCUCCUUCUCCCCUUGAGGGUCGGGGCAGCCGUGCUUCCUGUUGCUGCUGACCUCCGUUUGUUUGGCUUCCCAUCUAACUCUUCUAUCACACCACCACUAAACCUUGAUAAGGCAGGAGGCCUUCGGGAAUUCACAAAUUAAGGAGUCAAUGGUGUGACUAUUUGGGAACAACUCCAAAGUCCCUGACCUCCAGCCCUUCGGAAUGUGAUCACCACUCACCAUGUAGGGGUGUUGUAAGGAGUCUCCUAGAAGGUUCUGCAAAGCCCAGCAGGAGGUGAAACUGCACGUGAGAGCAGAUAACCAGCAGCCUGCCACCCCUUCAGCCCAGUGAAUGAUGCUUUUAAAACCAGAGAUUCCAGAAAGUCUACAAAAAUACGCCUUCUAUGACAAGGAUCCAUUCCCCGCUCUGUAACAUCCACGGGUCCCUCUCCUUUCCAAUCCCCCGCCCCGUUCCGGUGCCAUCUCUGCAGCAGCACCUCCUCUGGUUCCCCCUGUCCCCAGCACAGGCUGCCUCCGCGGAUCCCAGAACACACCCCUGGCUGCAUCCUGCUGGGACCUCCUGAGUGAGCCUCCCUCCUGCCUCUCAGGUCCUCACUGCUAGGUGCUUCCAUCCAGCCCCUCCCCCUGUCCCCCCCACGGCCGGCCCUCCUCUUCCAGCCAAAUUCAUCUGUGCCAUGACUCCAUGACUGAAAAGGUGCCCACGUCACACGAUCUGUCCAGUCAUUGUU